ensembl:lncRNA
GCUGUAAAUCUUCCCUAGCCUCUGCUGCAGCCAAACAAAGAGAUCAACUCCGCAAAUUGGCUGAAAGAGCUCUUUGUUCUCUCUCUGUCGAACGGGGCUGCAGUACAACUUUCCAGACCACGAGGAACAACUUCAAGUUUCACUUUUUUUUUGCUUUGUCUUUUUUAGCAUUUUGUAAUUUCAGUGAUUUCCAGCUAGUUGCAGCAAUUACUUGCAGGGCAGAAAGUUUUAAAGCAACAGACCAUUAUAAUUUCUACGCAGGAAUAGUAAAAGGAAUUGGCGAGCUCUUGUGCUAAUUUUCGACAAUCUUGGAUUACUGGGAGAUCUGCAGGAAGCUGAAUGAAUGCCCUUGGGAGAAGCUUCAGCCUCUUCAUCCUUCUGAGAUGCUUUGCAGAGGACCUCUUGCCUUGACAGUCACAUCCCCCUCAUCUUUUUGACUUGCAGCAGGAGUUAUCUGAGAGCUGUGCCAGCUUCAUGCUUCUUUAGCCAACAGCUGGGCAAAGGCACCUGAAGGUCUUCAGGCAGCACUGCAGUACAAAGGACAUGUACCUGCACUGAUGCUCCCCACUGGCCCUUUCCCAGUCUGCCUCUCACUGUUGCCUCUGCCAGCACUGCCAAAGCACAUCUGGAGGCAAUGUGCACAUCUGGACAUGCCAUGCCAGCAAGCAGGGAAAAUGGCAGGGCACCUCUUGGAGAGGGGGCUCUGCUCCCACCUCCCUCUCUGGAUGACUUAGAAUCAUAGAGCCAUUAAGGUUGGAAAAGACUCCUAAGAUCAUCCGGUCCAACCAUCAACCACUUGGAUUGAAUUACAUGAUGUCUUCCUGUGCCUCAGUUUCUCCACCUGUGAUAUAAAGAGGCUGAUGAAGAGUUUGAAAAUCCAUUCAUGGAAAACCAGAAAUGAAAACCCCGAGAGAUGUUAGCAUUAAAACAACAUUCGACAGCAUAUUAGGAGUUGUACUGUGAAGAGUCAUUCUGUGACAGCAGGGAAACAGCUGAGCAAUUUAACACCCACAGUUGUUGCCAUCCCUUGUUUCUAUCCACAGAUAUGCCUGGACUGAUAUUCCAGGUCAUUUCUCAUGUUGGCAACUUUCGUCUCUUUCCACUCAAGCAAGUCCUAUAAACUGUUUAUAUUAAAACAAUUAAAUUAUGUGCACAGCGUUUACAUAAACGCUGGCACCGUCAUUAAUGGCAACACUUAGGGAUGCGGAUGGUGUCUGUGUGUGCUCUGCAAUCCUUCAGGGAGAAGAAUCGAAUUUGCCAGCCAGUUUGGUUAAAAUAUUUAAAUGAGAGGUGGCUGCACUUUGAGAUGGAGGAAGUACUGCCAAGGAAUGUAACUGAAUAAUCAGAGCUCAUCGUGACACCUCUCAGUGGGCCGUUUAGUGUGCCCUGCACCUCCUUGGUACCCAGUGCUGCUCAGCCUCAGUAGUAUGGGUACAGCCUGGCUCACAGCUCGACACCAUGGGAAGGCAGAGCUGCCUCCCCCCCCCUGCAUUCACAUCCCUAAAUGCUCUGCUGGGAGAGACAAUGCAUGGCAAAUCCCCCUUUCUACUCUAUAUCCCUGCUGGGCUGCAUUGAUGCUCCUUGAGAACUGCCAUCAGGGCUGCUGGAGCAGGAACCUAUCUCCUCAUCCCACAGCAAUUCUAUUUUGUGUGUGCCCAUAUUAUUUGUACAGGUGAAGCCAUGUGGAGCACAGAACAGGCCAAAGCUAGUCUUUGCCUGCCUGUUUUCUCCACCAUGUUCCACCAUGGGAUCUGGUGCUGGAGGCUGCUCAUCAAGCCAUCUCGUGCUGAGCUGCCAGGAGAGGCAGGGAGCCAGGAAAAAGCAAACAGCCCUGGGAAAAAGAGACUUCACAGAAAGAGCCUGUGGUUUGUCAGAAGCAAGGCUGAACAACGUUUCCUUGUGGUCUGUAAUUACCAACAGAGGGAAGAGAUAGCUCAGACUUGGGGAUGCUUUCAUCCAGCAGACAAAAGCUGGAUGAAUCCAAUAGCUGGAGGCUGAAGUUAGCAAGAUUGAAAUGUAGGAUGCAAAUAUCUAAGACUGGAGGUAAUUAAUAAGUUCCCUGAUGUUUGCUGUGCCAAGUGGAUGGCAGUCAGAGCGGGCGAGCUGCCCAUGCUAGGGCCUGAUGCCUUUCCUCAAUCAGUGCUGUAUAGCACAUAGGCAGCAGUGUAGGGCUGAUCCCAAGUGAGCAGGACACACAUCUGGAGUGCCCAGAGCCCCAGGAAGCUGAGCUGUGGUUUUCCUGAAUGCAAGAAGACAAAUGAAUAUCCAAAACUGGAACAGGCUGCCCAGAGUUGUUGUGGAUGCCCCAUCCCCAGAGGUGCCCAAGGCCAGGCUUGCUGGGGCCCUAGGCAACCUGAUCUGAUGGAGGGCAACAAGCCAUGGCAGAGGUUUGAGCUUGAUGGUCUUUAAGGUCCUUUCCAACUCACUCCAUUCUAUAAUUCUAUGAUAAACUGCCUGGUGUCCACCAUAUAGGAGGAGCCACUUAGUCUCAACCCAUUUUCUACUCACAGAAUGUCCCAUCCAUGGAUCGCAAGGGGAAUUAAAGACACUGGGGCCCCUCAGCCAUGUGAUGAGCAGUCUGUGGCUAAUGCCUUCAUUGUGGGAUGUGCUGUUCUGUGGGAUGUGUCAGGCUGAUGCACUACAGGAGUUUAAAUGCCUGAUGUGAAGUCUCUCCUUCAGUCCUUGUGUUGUAGGGGCUGCAAAGCUGUAUGGGGCAUACCAUGCCCGAUUAGUUUUAUGGACUGCUGUGGCUCAAGGCUGAUUAUUUUCCAAAUAAAAUAUCAGUUUAAGAGUAACUCGGUAUGCUUGCUAGCUUGGGAACAUGGGGUGCCAUUUUAUUGGCUCGGGUAGAUUGCUUG